UACGGAGGGUGCGAGCGUUGUCCGGAAUCACUGGGCGUAAAGGGCGCGUAGGCGGUUCGUUAAGUUGCUGGUGAAAUCCCGGGGCUCAACUCCGGGGCUGCCGGCGAGACUGGCGAGCUCGAGCACGGUAGAGGCGGAUGGAAUUCCCGGUGUAGCGGUGGAAUGCGUAGAGAUGGGGAAGAACACCGGUGGCGAAGGCGGCUCGCUGGGCCGAUGCUGACGCUGAGGCGCGAAAGCGUGGGGAGCAAACAGG
rnacentral:rRNA from 1 species